GAUGAAGAACGUAGCGAAAUGCGAUAAGUAAUGUGAAUUGCAGAAUUCAGUGAAUCAUCGAAUCUUUGAACGCACAUUGCGCCCCCUGGUAUUCCGGGGGGCAUGCCUGUUCGAGCGUCAUUUCACCACUCAAGCCUCGCUUGGUAUUGGGCAACGCGGUCCGCCGCGUGCCUCAAAUCGACCGGCUGGGUCUUCUGUCCCCUAAGCGUUGUGGAAACUAUUCGCUAAAGGGUGUUCGGGAGGCUACGCCGUAAAACAACCCCAUUUCUAAGGUUGACCUCGGAUCAGGUAGGGAUACCCACUGAACUUAAGCAUAUCAAUGAGCGGAGGA
rnacentral:misc_RNA from 1 species